rnacentral:rRNA from 1 species
CUACGGGUCGCAGCAGUGAGGAAUUUUGCGCAAUGGGGGCAACCCUGACGCAGCAACGCCGCGUGAGUGAAGAAGGCCUUUGGGUCGUAAAGCUCUGUCGACAGGGAAGAAGUUAUCCAUGGUUAACAGCCGUGGGUAUUGACGGUACCUGUGGAGGAAGCAUCGGCUAGCGCCGUGCCAGCAGCCGCGGUAAUACGGGGGAUGCAAGCGUUAUUCGGAAUCAUUGGGCGUAAAGGGCACGCAGGCGGUUCUGCCAGUCAGAUGUGAAAGCCCGGGGCUCAACCCCGGACGUGCAUUUGAAACAGCAGGACUUGAGUACGGCAGAGGAAAGCGGAAUUCCUGGUGUAGAGGUGAAAUUCGUAGAUAUCAGGAGGAACACCGGUGGCGAAGGCGGCUUUCUGGACCGAAACUGACGCUGAGGUGCGAAGGCGUGGGUAGCGAACAGGAUUAGAUACCCCAGUAGUC